CCUACGGGAGGCAGCAGUGGGGAAUAUUGGACAAUGGGGGCAACCCUGAUCCAGCAAUUCUGUGUGCACGAAGAAGGUUUUCGGAUCGUAAAGUGCUUUCAGCAGGGAGGAAGGAAGUGACUGUACCUGCAGAAGAAGCGACGGCUAAAUACGUGCCAGCAGCCGCGGUAAUACGUAUGUCGCGAGCGUUAUCCGGAAUUAUUGGGCAUAAAGGGCAUCUAGGCGGCCGGGUAAGUCCGGGGUGAAAACUGCUGGCUCAACCAGCAGCCUGCCUUGGAAACUAUCCGGCUUGAGUGCUGGAGAGGUGGACGGAACUGCACGAGUAGAGGUGAAAUUCGUAGAUAUGUGCAGGAAUGCCGAUGAUGAAGAUAGUUCACUGGACGGCAACUGACGCUGAAGUGCGAAAGCUAGGGGAGCGAACAGGAUUAGAUACCCUGGUAGUCCUAGCUGUAAACGAUGAUUACUGGGUGUGGGCAUGAAGAGUGUCCGUGCCGAAGCUAAUGCGAUAAGUAAUCCGCCUGGGGAGUACGGCCGCAAGGCUGAAACUCAAAGGAAUUGACGGGGACCCGCACAAGCGGUGGAGCAUGUGGUUUAAUUCGACGCAACGCGAGGAACCUUACCAGAUCUUGACAUCCUCGGAAGGCGGCGGAGACGCCGCUGUGCCCUCGGGAGCCGAGUGACAGGUGGUGCAUGGCUGUCGACAGCUCGUGUCGUGAGAUGUUGGGUUAAGUCCCGCAACGAGCGCAACCCCUAUCGCUAGUUGCCAUCAUCAGGUUGGGGACUCUAGCGAGACUGCCUGCGAAGAGCAGGAGGAAGGUGGGGAUGACGUCAAGUCAUCAUGCCCCUUAUGAUCUGGGCUACACACGUGCUACAAUGGCUGGUACAGAGAGACGCAAUGCAGCAAUGCCUAGCUAACCUCUAAAGCCAGUCCAAGUUCGGAUUGAAGUCUGCAACUCGACUUCAUGAAGUUGGAAUCGCUAGUAAUCGCAGAUCAGCCAAGCUGCGGUGAAUCCGUUCCCGGGCCUUGUACACACCGCCCGUCACACCACCCGAGCCGGGUGUACCCGAAGCCGGUGGCCUAACCGAAAGGGAGGAGCCGUCGAAGGUGUGUCUGGUGAGGGGGGUGAAGUCGUAACAAGGUAGCCGUACGGGAACGUGCGGCUG
rnacentral:rRNA from 1 species